rnacentral:sRNA from 1 species
CCGGCCUCCUUUCGGGGCCGGAUUUUUUUGCGGCCGCCGAUUCAAGGCCACGGCAAAAAAAAAGCCGGAGCAAAGGCAUUGCGCCUUUCGCUCCGGCUUUUGUAU